GUCCACGCCGUAAACGAUGGGUGCUAGAUGUUGCUGGUAUUGACCCCGGCAGUAUCGCAGCUAACGCGUUAAGCACCCCGCCUGGGGAGUACGGCCGCAAGGCUAAAACUCAAAGGAAUUGACGGGGGCCCGCACAAGCGGUGGAGCAUGUGGUUCAAUUCGACGCAACGCGAAGAACCUUACCUGGGUUGGAACCCUCCAGAAGUCCUCAGAGACGAGGAUGUGCCCGCAAGGGAGCUGGAUGUCCAGGUGCUGCAUGGCUGUCGU
rnacentral:rRNA from 1 species